CUUAUCAUUUAGAGGAAGGAGAAGUCGUAACAAGGUUUUCGUAGGUGAACCUGCGAAAGGAUCAUUGUCGAAACCUGCCUAGCAGAACGACCCGAGAACGYGUUAAAAAACCAAAUGAUUUGGUCGGGGGAAAGCGCGGGUCCCUGACCCGGCGGUCUGGCRUUCCCCCUUACCGAACAACGAACCCCUGCGUGAUCUGCGCCAAGUAACUACAACGAAGAGAUCAUCGCCCUACCGUUGUCGCGCGCAUGGGGGGYAACUGAUCUCUUGCUUUAUGAUCCAAAACGACUCUCGRCAACGAAUAUCUCGCUCUUGUAUCGAUGAAGAACGUAGCAAAAUGCGAUACUUGGUGUGAAUUACAGAAUCCCGUGAACCAUCGAGUCUUUGAACGUAAGUUGCGCCUUAAGCCAUUAGGCCGAAGGCAUGUCUGCCUGGGUGUCACGCAUCGUCGCCCCCCAAAACCCCUCGCCUCGUAGGGUGGUGCUCGAGGGGGGCGGAUAUUGGCCUCCCGUGUGCUUCGUCACCCGCGGUUAGCCCAAAAUCGAGUCCCACGGCUUCGAGCACCAUGACAAACGGUGGUUGGCCUGAUCCAAAGACCUCAAUACACCAUCACGUGCGCCCGUCACCACCAAGGUGGUUCUCCGUGACCCUAACCUUUCGCAUCGCGACCCCAGGUCAGGCGGGACUACCCACUGAGU
rnacentral:misc_RNA from 1 species